rnacentral:rRNA from 1 species
CCUACGGGUGGCAGCAGUGGGGAAUAUUGGACAAUUGGGGGAACCCUGAUCCAGCCAUGCCGCGUGUGUGAAGAAGGCCCUCGGGUUGGAAAGCACUUUCAGUGAGGAAGAACGCCUGGUGGUUAAUACCCAUCAGGAAAGACAUCACUCACAGAAGAAGCACCGGCUAACUCCGUGCCAGCAGCCGCGGUAAUACGGAGGGUGCGAGCGUUAAUCGGAAUUACUGGGCGUAAAGCGCGCGUAGGUGGCUUGAUAAGCCGGUUGUGAAAGCCCCGGGCUCAACCUGGGAACGGCAUCCGGAACUGUCAAGCUAGAGUGCAGGAGAGGAAGGUAGAAUUCCCGGUGUAGCGGUGAAAUGCGUAGAGAUCGGGAGGAAUACCAGUGGCGAAGGCGGCCUUCUGGACUGACACUGACACUGAGGUGCGAAAGCGUGGGUAGCAAACAGGAUUAGAUACCCGUGUAGUC